rnacentral:lncRNA from 1 species
AUGGGGAAAGGGACUUUACGGGGGGCGUUCGGUUCCUGUUCCCGGUACACGGAGCCACAGGACACCCGCACCCCUGCCCCAACACCGGUUCUGCCGCGUCCUCACCCCGCAAGGUGGGACCGGGCACCCCGCACUGCCUGCACGUCCCUCCGGCCAGGAGACGGGGUCCUCGCCCCACUCCAAUGCUGGGAAGAGCUCCCCAGGGGUUGCCCACUCCUGCCAUCAUCCCACCCCACGCACCGGUGGGUGACACGGCGGCGUCACCGCCUGGAGCGUGUUGUCCCCGGCCACCGGCAGCCUCCCGACCCUGCUCUCGCCCCCUCCCCGAGCCCCCACCCACCGGGGUGCUGGUCCCUGCCGCAGAAAUCCCCUCUGGCCUCCGCCUGCAUGGUCACGCCACGCCGCCGGCCACGCCGCCGGCCACGCCGCCCCGCUCCGGCCUGGGUUCACCGGCUGCCUGGUGGGGAACGGGGCCGGCAUCAGGGCUCCUUCCCCGCGCACCGCUCUGCUGACUCACGUCAAACCGCAGAGCCAGGCAGCAGCCGGCUCUUGCCACCCCACCGGCAUCGGCCCCGCUCCUGGCCGGUACCCGGGCCGGUGGCACCGUCCUCCCGCGUGGCUCUGAAGGGCCCGGUGCCCUCGGUGCCACGGGAGGGCACGGCCGGGGCUGCCACCGUGACAGGGGCUGCGGCACAGCCGUGCGCGGGGCACGUACGGGAGGGACGGGCAUGUACAGGAGCCCCACUACCACCCGUGUCACCGUGCAGGACCCCACCGCAGCCCCCCUCUAAUACCGGGGGACCCCCGGCUCCACCGGCACGGCCACCACCCCGUCCCCGAGCACCCCGUCCCUCCACGCUCCUCCACCAGCACCGGCACACCUGCACGGGGGGGGGUCUGUCCUCCGGUACCCACCUCCCUGCCCGGCACCCCCCUGCACCUCAGCGUGCCCCAGGCACUCUGUACCUGGCCUGGCACCCCCCCCCACUGCACCCCCCACAUCCCCUCGGCACCCCACUGCACCCCCCACGUCACCUGGGCACCCCACCGUGCACCCCCACACCCCCCUGGGCACCCCACCGUACCCCCACACCCCCCUGGGCACCCCACUGCACACCCAGACCCCCAUCCCAGACUGCCCCUGCACACACUUGCCUGCACAGACACCCCCUGCCUGUGCUGUGUGUGUCCCCCCCCGACCCCCACCCCCCCCCAUGCCCCCGACCCCCACCCCUGCAGCCGGCCCCCCCCCAGCACAGCCCCACACGUACCCACACCGGGGCACACACAUGCGCAUCUGCGCCCCCCCCCUUGCACCCCCCGCACCCCCAUGCAUACCCUCCCGCACCCCCCCAGCACCCCCCAUUGCACACACCCCCCCCCGCACCCCCAGCCAAAGCCCCCUGCACCCCCAAUUCAACCUCCCCCCCGCAUCCCCGUACACACCCCCUUGCACACACCCCCCUUGCACACCCCCCCCCAUACAUCUCCUUGUGCACCCCCCACUCCCCCCCCCCAGCCCCGUACUCCCGCCCCGCGGGGCCCGCCCCGGUUCCGCCCGCCCCGGGGCCGCGGUGA